AAUGGAAGGCUCCCUCCCUCCCCAACCUAUCCCGGGAGCCGAUCUGUUGAUGCUCCCUGUGCCUUCUCUACCACUCAGCAGGCUUCUUGCCAGGGAACUCUUGAUAAAUACAUGUUGAUGUACAGAGAGUGCUCACGCCCUGCAGCUGCUCAAAGACUCUGAAGCAAGGAAGGGGACCCAUAAGCCAGCAAGCGGCUCAGUGGAGUGGCAUCCCCACCCGAGAGACUUGGGGACCUGACAUGAGGAAUCAGGAGAGAAUUCCCAAGCCAGAGGCCGGCUGUGAAUCCAAGAACACAGAGAUCCAGUCUUGAGGGCAAUGUGUCCGGG
rnacentral:lncRNA from 1 species